rnacentral:tRNA from 3 species
UCCUCGAUAGCUCAAUGGUAGAGCACCCGGCUGUUAACCGGGUGGUUGCUGGUUCGAGUCCAGCUCGAGGAGCCA